rnacentral:rRNA from 1 species
AACGAACGCUGGCGGCAUGCCUAACACAUGCAAGUCGAACGAGACCUUCGGGUCUAGUGGCGCACGGGUGCGUAACGCGUGGGAACCUGCCCUUAGGUUCGGAAUAACUCCCCGAAAGGGGUGCUAAUACCGGAUAAUGUCUUCGGACCAAAGAUUUAUCGCCUUUGGAUGGGCCCGCGUUGGAUUAGCUAGUUGGUAGGGUAAAAGCCUACCAAGGCGACGAUCCAUAGCUGGUCUGAGAGGAUGAUCAGCCACACUGGGACUGAGACACGGCCCAGACUCCUACGGGAGGCAGCAGUGGGGAAUAUUGGACAAUGGGCGAAAGCCUGAUCCAGCAGUGCCGUGUGAGUGAUGAAGGCCUUAGGGUUGUAAAGCUCUUUUACCCGGGAUGAUAAUGACAGUACCGGGAGAAUAAGCGCCGGCUAACUCCGUG